rnacentral:rRNA from 1 species
UUGCAUGUAUUUGUGAUGGCGAGUGAUCUAAUCCCUUAGGAAAACUUGGGCGACCGCUGUAAUACUUCUCUUUAAAACAGAGGCAGGUUGCGGCAAUAACAGGUCUUGUGAUGCCCUCAGAUGUCCCGGGCCGCACACGUGCUACAUUGAUUAGCGCAGUGCGCAUACUUUCAAUAUGAUACAUUGGAUUGGUGGUGAAUUGUUGGCCCCGUCUAAUACUGUCCUGUCUGAGAAGGCUGGGUAAUCAAUUGUAAGUGCUGGUUCCUACUCCCGUUGAGCAUUUUAAUAAUGGCCUCUCUACAUCCCUAGUAACCCUAGUGCGAUUGUAGUUGAGCCUUGCCAUUUAUGCAAGUGUCAAUUCUCAGUGGGGACAGACAUUUGAUAAUUCUUUGUCUCGUUCUUAACUAGGAAUGCCUUGUACGGGUCUUGGUUCAACAGACCACCCGGAAUACGUCCCUGCCCUUUGUAMACACCGCCCGUCGCUCUUACCGAUGACUUUCCCURAGAGU